UGGCAGUGUGGUUAGCUGGUU
rnacentral:ncRNA from 5 species